UGGAGACCACAGAGUGGCAAGGUGACAUAGUGUGGAGAUGGCAGCAGCAUGAGGAGACCACAGAGUGGCAAGGUAACAUAGUUUGGAGGAGAAGGCAGCAUCAGGAGGCCACAGAGUGGUAAGGUAACAUAGUUUGGAGGUUGCAGCAGCAUCAGGAGGCCACAGAGUGGAAAGGUGACAUAGUGUGGAUAUGGCAGCAG